CGGGUGAGUAACGCGUAGGUAACCUGCCUGGUAGCGGGGGAUAACUAUUGGAAACGAUAGCUAAUACCGCACGACAACAGUUAUUGCAUGAUAACUGUUUAAAAGGGGCAAUUGCUCCACUACCAGAUGGACCUGCGUUGUAUUAGCUAGUUGGUGAGGUAACGGCCCACCAAGGCGACGAUACAUAGCCGACCUGAGAGGGUGAUCGGCCACACUGGGACUGAGACACGGCCCAG
rnacentral:rRNA from 1 species